AUAAUAUUACAAUCAUAAAUACAAGAGCUAAUUAAAAAUUGUGAAGUUUACACAUGAAUUGACUUAAAAAUAGGACAAAUGUCGUGAUGAAAAAUAUUCAAAAAGACCAAAACUUACUGAAUUUUUUUAACGAGAUUAAAAUUGAAAUAUAGUAUAUUUAUAAGGUCUGAAAACUUAUUUAACCCUUAGGGCAUGUUUGGUUCGAGGUAGAUAUAGAGGAGGGGAGGGGAGAUGAGGGGGUAAUCUUGACAAAAACAAAAUUUUUGAGUAAACAGUCACUUUCGUCCCUGAAAGUGUCGCUCGCUGUCAUCAACAAAUCCAUCCCCAAAUAAAGAAAACCUACCCAGAAUUCAUCACCAAAAUUCAUCCUCACCCACCAACCACACAUAAGAAAAUGUGAAGAACAUUGCUAUGCAUCUGAAGGUAAAAAAAAAAUGUCAUACUAGAAUUUCACUUUCCAAUNNNN
rnacentral:lncRNA from 1 species